rnacentral:rRNA from 1 species
AACGAACGCUGGCGGCAUGCCUAACACAUGCAAGUCGAACGAGACCUUCGGGUCUAGUGGCGCACGGGUGCGUAACGCGUGGGAACCUGCCCUUAGGUUCGGAAUAACUCCCCGAAAGGGGUGCUAAUACCGGAUAAUGUCUUCGGACCAAAGAUUUAUCGCCUUUGGAUGGGCCCGCGUUGGAUUAGCUAGUUGGUAGGGUAAAAGCCUACCAAGGCGACGAUCCAUAGCUGGUCUGAGAGGAUGAUCAGCCACACUGGGACUGAGACACGGCCCAGACUCCUAGGGGGGGCAGCAGUGGGGAAUAUUGGACAAUGGGCGAAAGCCUGACCCAGCAAUGCCGGGUGAGUGAUGAAGGCUUUAGGGUUGAAAAGCUUUUUUACCCGGGAUGAUAAUGACAGUACCGGGAAAAAAAGCCCCGGCUAACUCCGU